rnacentral:rRNA from 1 species
GUGCCAGCCGCCGCGGUAAUACGGAGGAUGCGAGCGUUAUCCGGAUUUAUUGGGUUUAAAGGGUGCGUAGGCGGUUUGUCAAGUCAGCGGUGAAACGCAAGGGCUUAACCCUUGACCUGCCGUUGAAACUGAUUGACUAGAAUGCGGAUGCUGUGGGAGGAAUGUGUGGUGUAGCGGUGAAAUGCAUAGAUAUCACACAGAACACCGAUUGCGAAGGCAUCUCACAAAUCCGUGAUUGACGCUGAGGCACGAAAGUGUGGGGAUCAAACAGGAUUAGAUACCCUGGUAGUCCACACUGUAAACGAUGAUAACUCGCUGUCGGCGAUACACAGUCGGUGGCCAAGCGAAAGCGAUAAGUUAUCCACCUGGGGAGUACGACCGCAAGGUUGAAACUCAAAGGAAUUGACGGGGGCCCGCACAAGCGGAGGAACAUGUGGUUUAAUUCGAUGAUACGCGAGGAACCUUACCCGGGCUCGAACGGCAGAGGAAGGACAUAGAGAUAUGAACGCCCUUCGGGGUCUCUGUCGAGGUGCUGCAUGGUUGUCGUCAGCUCGUGCCGUGAGGUGUCGGCUUAAGUGCCAUAACGAGCGCAACCCUUGCCAUUAGUUACCAGCACGUAAAGGUGGGGACUCUAGUGGGACUGCCACCGUAAGGUGAGAGGAGGGGGGGGAUGACGUCAAAUCAGCACGGCCCUUACGUCCGGGGCGACACACGUGUUACAAUGGUGGGUACAGAGGGCAGCUACCUGGCGACAGGAUGCAAAUCUCGAAAACCCAUCUCAGUUCGGAUCGGAGUCUGCAACUCGACUCCGUGAAGUUGGAUUCGCUAGUAAUCGCGCAUCAGCCAUGGCGCGGUGAAUACGUUCCCGGGCCUUGUACACACCGCCCGU